AACGAACGCUGGCGGCAGGCCUAACACAUGCAAGUCGAGCGCCCCGCAAGGGGAGCGGCGGACGGGUGAGUAACGCGUGGGAACGUACCCUUUGCUACGGAAUAGCCUCGGGAAACUGGGAGUAAUACCGUAUGUGCCCUUCGGGGGAAAGAUUUAUCGGCAAAGGAUCGGCCCGCGUUGGAUUAGGUAGUUGGUGGGGUAAUGGCCUACCAAGCCGACGAUCCAUAGCUGGUUUGAGAGGAUGAUCAGCCACACUGGGACUGAGACACGGCCCAGACUCCUACGGGAGGCAGCAGUGGGGAAUCUUAGACAAUGGGCGCAAGCCUGAUCUAGCCAUGCCGCGUGAUCGAUGAAGGCCUUAGGGUUGUAAAGAUCUUUCAGUGGGAAGAUAAUGACUGUACCACAGAAGAAGCCCGGCUAACUCCGUGCCAGCAGCCGCGGUAAUGUGUGACU
rnacentral:rRNA from 1 species